UUGAUAAUGAGGGUAGAGGUGUAUAUAUAUAGUGGUGGUUGUUGAUAAUGAGGGUAGAGGUGUAUAUAGUGGUGGUUGUUGAUAAUGAGGGUAGAGGUGUAUAUAGUGUAUAUAGUGGUGGUUGUUGAUAAUGAGGGUAGAGGUGUAUAUA